rnacentral:other from 1 species
UAUUUUCUGAAAUAUUCGACUAGCUCUAAGUUUUGAACCUACAUUAUAAAAUUGGGAGUUCAAUAUUUAGAUGUGGAUAUGUACUUUUAUAUGAAUCCUUGUAAUGGUUUAGAAGAGAUAAAAGCAUCUGUGAGGACACCCACCUAUCGAGAGAUAGGUGUCAAAAUUGGAGCAACGGUAUUUUGGAUUUUAU